GUUGUAUUGUCUUAUUAUCUUAUUUUGUCCAUCCCAUUUAUAUCAACAAGGGUCAGCUAAGUAACAGAAACACCUCUCUGUCUACAGUGGACAUGAUUUUAACAAGCAAUUAAACCAAGAAACCCCGAGAAGUAGGCAGCCUCCCCAAACAACCUGCUGCAAAAUACAACAUUUCUAAUCAAAGCAUGUUCUCCUCUAACCGGCUACCUCCUCCAUCGCUGUGUUACUGACAAAGGGCCCAAGGAGAGAGCCGAGACAGGAUCUUGUUUUUCUGUCCCAGCACUGAGGUGGCCUGGUCCUGACCUCAAAAAUUGCCAACCACAUCUCUGAUUUGUUCAGCAAUUCAUUCAUUCAUGGCCAAAAGUACAGAGGUGCUGACCACUUUGCUCUCCUGACUCCCUCUGACAGCGUUGAUGCUGAUCUCGUAUUCUGUAGCAGGAAACAGGCUGGACAAGGUGUAGUUGGUAACAUCGCUGUCAAUCACCACGCUGUCCACUCGACCUGCAGGAGACAUCACAACUGCUGCCGUCACUCUGAUCUUUCUUCAGGUACAGCAGUGUGUGUAACAGGGUUCCUCGCUACAAGAUAUCUUACAUCAGAGAGACCUGCUACAACAAAUGCCGUGUUCAUUUAACUGUAACAUGAAAACGCAGCGUGCCGGCGCGCAUGCUGAUAUAUAGAAAACCAUGUUAUUAUAAAGCGAUGAAGACAGGCGUUACAGGAUGUAAGGAAU